rnacentral:rRNA from 1 species
UACGUAGGGUGCGAGCGUUGUCCGGAAUUACUGGGCGUAAAGAGCUCGUAGGCGGCUCGUCGCGUUGUCCGUGAAAAUUUACCGCUCAACGGUGAACUUGCGGGCGAUACGGGCAGGCUAGAGUACUGCAGGGGAGACUGGAAUUCCUGGUGUAGCGGUGAAAUGCGCAGAUAUCAGGAGGAACACCGGUGGCGAAGGCGGGUCUCUGGGCAGUAACUGACGCUGAGGAGCGAAAGCGUGGGGAGCAAACAGG